UACACACGGACAAUAUAUUCUUUUUUUGAAGAAGAAUUCCAGAGGCAGUUUACUUUGUCAUGCACUCUGCUGUUGAGUGAAACUACAACUAACACUUACAAAGUUACAUCUUUUUUCCGUGAGGAUAAAGAAGCCAUAGUGGUUUUUUAUCCAACAACAUUGGAUAUAUCUUGUUCAUGCAAGUUGUAUGGAUGUGUAGGUAUCCUAUGCAAGCAUGCUCACAAAGUGUUCACUUCUUGCAAUAUUAUCACCUUGCCAAGCCAAUACAUACUGAACAGAUGGACAAAAUAUGCAAAGCAAGAUAUCUUUAGUUCUAAGCCAAGAGGAAAUGAAAGCUUAGAAUUCCUCUUUGCACAUGUAUCUCGAAAGAUGAUAUCUCUUGCACUGAAGUGUAAACCCUCAAAGGAGGUUCUUCGACACCUAGACGAGGGUAUUGAUAAGUUCGCUUCUGAAGCAUGUGACUUACUUAGUAAGGUGAGCUUGGAGGAUAAUGAGGACGUAGAAUGUGACGCCGAAUUUAAUGAAGAUGCUGCCAAUACAGUGGUGUCAAUUCAAGCUCCUGUACGUUAAAAAGGUCCAUGAAAGAAGCGAUCAAAAGAUCCACUUGAGGGACCAAAGAAAGGAAAAGCUAAGGGUGGAAAAAAGAAAGGGGAAGGUACAGGAAAUACAACACUGUCACAUACAAUGAAAUUGCCAACACAUGUAGCUGGACCUUCAUAAUUUAUACAUUCGG